rnacentral:rRNA from 1 species
UACGUAGGGUGCGAGCGUUGCCCGGAUUUAUUGGGCGUAAAGGGCGCGUAGGCGGCUCGGCACGUCCGUUGUGAAAUCGCCCGGCUCAACUGGGCGGGGUCAGCGGAUACGGUCGAGCUUGAGCAAGCUAGGGGGUAAUGGAAUUCCCGGUGUAGUGGUGGAAUGCGUAGAUAUCGGGAGGAACACCAGUGGCGAAGGCGGUUACCUGGGGCUUUGGCUGACGCUGAUGCGCGAAAGCGUGGGGAGCGAGUCCGG